GAAUCUGAAGUUCCAGUUCCAGCAAUGACCAGAGUCAAGGACAGCUCCUUUCAAUUAGCCGACUGAGCCCUUCUCGAAGGUAUGACAAAUUUACCUCCAUCUCCUCACAGGACGACUCGACUACUGAGAAAUGGCAAUUUCCUGCGACUGUGACUGAGUCCGCACACAUGUGCUUCUGAGUGCGACUUCUCGACAUGUCCUGGAGUCUGGACCUCUCGUCCUGUUUUCCGGCUGCCUCCUGGCCGCAAAAUUGGUAAUUUUCUAGUACAUUUAUUUCCACAUGUCAGGCCAGUCAAGUUGGUAACUCCAGACCGCAUCUUCAUGUUGAUGGACAUGUGAGUGGGCCUCGAUGAGCUGGGACAGUGGUAGGCUUACGAACCGGAUGCCGGAAUUGUUGCAGGCUUUUAAGAUUGGCAGAUUGGGUCAGCCUUGGUUGAGUGUCCUCUCGAACCAUGUGAAAAUGGGUCUCUAAAUAUGCCUUUGGUCUGGCCUAAUGCCCCGGCAUUAAUUCUCGAGUAGCGGAGAACUUCAUUAUUGAUUGGCUGGCAGAAGGGUUUUUUUUAUGGGGGGAGGGGCUCUCUGACUCAUCUACUUAGUUAUACGGGCACAAAUAGUUCGGCGCAAGCUUUUAAUUCACUU